CUGAACCAGUUGUGUGUGGGAUACCUGCAACAACCAUGUUUGGCAAGAAAAUACCUGAUUCUAUUGGAGACAAAGUACAAUGAUCUUCAUGAAUAGCGUCAUGAUCCCCAUCUAGUUGCAGCCCUUUCAGGUCCUGGGAAAACUUGGAGAAGAAAAGUCUAAUGUGGAAAGCAGUAUCUUCAGACUAUUCUCUUCCAGCUGGCAAGGAACUAAAGG